UUAUGUUUAAAACACAUACUCUCUACUAUUGUGCUGAUUUGUUUUGCCAUCUUAUCAAAGAUAACCUUUUUUUUCAAGAAAAACAACUAGUAAAAGAAAAAGUAUUUUUUUUUUUUAUAAACUCUCUUUUAAAGGUGCUGGGACCACGUUCUACUUCCUCAUCAUGAAGCUGGGGUUAUACUGUUGGUUUUACCUGUUUCCGGGCUGGUAGCAGAUGUUGCUGAUUGUUUCCACUUGUACAUUCAGAAGUAAAGAACCAUGGUGACACUCGAACCCAGGAUUAAACCUAAAGUGAUUUCUGCCUAAACUUUAAAUCCACCUUCUAGUGCAGGUCAGAGAAACAGGAGAGGAUGGACUCUCCUACAACCAGAUGUGAAUCCACAGUCAGUGAGUGGUGCGUGCUUGACCUUGAUUUUGAAGUACAACAUUCAUCUGAAACAAAGUCAGACUCUCCUCCACCCAGUGCUGUGUCCAUGAAGAGUGACAGAUCCAUGGUUGAACCUUUAAACUUUAAAGGACAAUGUUCAUCUGAAACAAAGUAAG